rnacentral:rRNA from 1 species
UACGGGGGGGGCAAGCGUUGUUCGGAAUUACUGGGCGUAAAGGGCUCGUAGGUGGCCAACUAAGUCGGACGUGAAAUCCCUCGGCUUAACCGGGGAACUGCGUCCGAUACUGGUUGGCUUGAGUUUGGGAGAGGGAUGCGGAAUUCCAGGUGUAGCGGUGAAAUGCGCAGAUAUCAGGAGGAACACCGGUGGCGAAGGCGGGUCUCUGGGCCGAAACUGACGCUGAGGAGCGAAAGCGUGGGGAGCGAACAGG